rnacentral:lncRNA from 1 species
CUAAUCUAAUCAAGAUAAUCCCUCACUGGUGUGUCAGGAGGCUAACUGUUGGAACCCAGCCCCCAUGGGGUCUCACUGUCUCUGGAGUCUGAAUUGGAGAUGGAACGGCAGUACUGGGAGGAGCUGGACAAAGACUUGGUGACAGAGCAGGGACAUGCUAUGGCUAUGGAGACGGUGACAGCACUCUCUACCUGGACACGCUAUGGCUAUGGAGACGACGACAGCAAUCUAUAUCUGGGGAAACACGUGGCGUCUGGCAUGUUCCAUGAAGACUGCAGGGAGAAGGCAGGUGCCGUCCUGGGCAGAAACGCAGCCGACUGCCUAGCAGAUGGGAAGCUCUCAGUGACCAUACCACGAGGCGAGAGCGCCAAGCAAAAAUCCAGGAAGUCCGCCACCCGUCCACCCACAGAGGAGCUCCGACAUCUCUAUCAAUAUUUUCGUCCACAAUCCCACACACUCACCCAGCCAUCUUCUCCAGCUCCAUCUUGAAAUGCCAAAGAUGGACACAUAUGUUGGAGGGCACCAUCACAGGCAGGGCUGGAAGAGGCAACCCACAGAGAAAGACUUCAAAAUGAC